AGACCCAGACAGCGACUACAGCGGUGGCGACAGCGCACCCAGACCAGCACAGAGCUGCAGCUAGAGCAUCAGGCUGAGCCAGCCCUGAUUGCCACCUCUUCCCAGCCAAUGGAACAUCAAAUUUGAAGAACUGGACAUGAACAAGUAAGUAAAGAUUUAAACAGAAGUUAUGUGGGCCAUGUGGACUGCUCACAUAGAUGUGCAUGUGGCUAGGAAAUACAAAGAUUAAUAACAUGCACAGUAUUUGAAGUGGUCUCAGAUCAAAACAUCAAAUGAGUCACAUCAUUGGUGUAAUAAAAGAAACAUUUAAAGGGAACACCACCAUCACAAAACCAGAUGCUGACUUUCUAAGAGAAGAAAACUAGAUACAACAAAGACUACAAGGGACUGAUUGCUUCUACGGCAAGUAUGAUUCUUCCCCACCUCUCUAAAAGACACAAAGACUUUCCAGGACUAGAAAAGCCUCCCAGCCAAAGGCUGUACGUUAUGUUCUGACACUAUAAAUCAUGGUUGGAAGUGACUUGUUGGUAUUUUUUUUUUCAUAAUAAAGUGAGCUAAAGUCUCCCCAAUUGUUUGCUUGUACCUGGUCCAGUGGAUUGUCCUUCCCCUCAUCUCUGCCCAGUAGUUUCUGUUUGGGGGAAGAUUAACUGCCUUGGCAGCCCUCACAGGUACCAUGUAUUGGUCCCUCCACCGUUUAAUUCUCUAUGUCACUGUCCAACUCCCAUAAAGGGUGUUAUCACCAAAGGGUGUGAAUAGUUGAAGUUAAAUCUGUUUCACAGUUCACUGAAAAGUAGGACGUUGCAGUAGUUUAAAGCUGUGUGACUGUUCCCUGAAGGCCUGUGUGUUAAAGGUUUCUUUCCCAGCUUGGCACUCUUGGCAGGUGGUGACAAUGUCAACAGAUGGGGCCUAGUGGGAGAUCUGUUAGCAACUGAAGGCAUGCCUGAGAGGGCAGUGAUUCCCUUUCCUUUCCCCUUUUUACUCUGUGUCACUUCCCAGCUGUGGCACAAGCACUUGGUUCCAACCCUGGGAUUGAACAGACGUUAUCACACUUGCAAGCAGCACUUCAUUGACUCAGUUAUUUUGUUCAUUCUUCUGGCAAAAUCCCCAAGGAAUAACAUGAACUGUUUUUCACUAAGAUAGAAGCAACCGUUCAAGCAGUCACCUGUGCACACGAACAUUCCUUGUCAUUCACGCGUUUCCUGAAACAGUCUUUGAAAAACAUACAUCGUCUCUCAUCCACAUUCUUUAAGGCUCAGCAUGCCCCUUGUCUCAUGGUUCUAACACUGUUGCAGAGGCAGAAGGCAAUGGCUUUUCUUUUUCUAUAGUUAAUGGCUCCACCUCACAAGCAGGUCUAGGGAACCUCUAAGAGAGAGUUGCUUCAGGAAAAUAAUUUUUGAUAAUAUUUUUAUUUAGAUAAAUGCCAAAAUAAUAGAAAAGUUACAGGAACCAUACAUGGAGCUUCCGUACAUCUUUUACUUGGAUUAUAUACAGUAAAUCCCUCCAUUUGCUCCAGGUGUACACAGGUGGCCGAGGUGAGAGGGAUCGUAUAUCAUAUACACAUGAGAGAUCCACGGAGUUUCUUCCCACCGCUUGGGCUGGAACUCAGGACAGCAUACAUGCUAGGUGGUUGCUCUGCCGCUGAGCUCUAUCUCCAUCCCUAAAAGGCAGUGUGGAAUUCUAAUUAAUGUACAAGCUUCUGAAUCAGAUUAUUACUAACAUAGCAACUUCCUAAAUACACAGGUGAUGAGAACAAUGUCCUGUUUGAUGCUUCUAAUUGCCUGUAAUUCCUAUUACUUUCCUUGUAAUGAAUUUUAAUUCCAGAAAGAAGAAAUGAGUGAGUGUUUAAUAAGACACUACCAACCUUUAAAGAAUUCCACUGGAGUGUUUUAGUCGUACCCCUGGGAAACUAGAGCUAGGCAAGUGAUGACAAUUACUCCCGAUGCCUGGAGACUAGUGGAGGUAGUAAAGGACUUUUAAACUGAUUUUCUUUUCAAAUCCUUUCAUAAAAAGUCAGAACAUCGAUAGUUCCGCUAAUACCGGUUCAAAAACCCAACUGUGCAUCUGUUUUAAAGUCAUAUCCUUUUACCAAAUUGAACACUGGGACUUAACACUGGGGAGAAUAUAAACUGACAUCAUUAGCAAUAAAAUCCAAGCUCCGUGGUGAUGGAGUCACUCAGGAACAGAGCACUUGCCUAGCAUUCACAAGCUCUGUGUUCAAUCCCCAGAAUCACACAUCCAUGUGCAAUGAGAGGGGAAGAAAGGGGGCUGGAGAGGAAGGCAUGGGAGGCACAAGAAAUGAGUUCAGACUCCAGAAAAACGUAUAUAAAUUCCCAAACCGAAACCACAGUAAGGUUUUCUCCAUCGGUGUUCAUGCUUUCUUUAGAAAAUGCUAUUAAGAUAUUUUAACUAGAAUAAAAACUUCACAGAUACACACCAAAUAAUACAAAACUUGAUUCUUAACACAUACUCUAAAAUGGUCAGCAGAAAUACUUAAGAAGCUAUCAAAAAAGAUUAAAAUGAGUUCCAUUUUCUACUUCUGAGCUAAAACAAAUUUUCCCCUUGGGUUUCAUGGCUCAACAUGGCAGUAGAGGGUCAUUUGGACAUGUGUGUGUGAGAACACUUUACCACUGUGCUCUACUGCAGGCUCUCUGUAUGCAAACAUUGCUUUAAUUGAAUUAGAAUAUUAUAUUUUAACUCAGGCUGUAAGUCUUUUUAUUCUGAAAUGUUUGCUGUUAGUAUGUUUUACAUGGAUUAAUAGGAAGUAAAUUUUCAUUAUUAAGUACAACAGGCUUUAUUACAUAUAGAGUCAAAACAAAAAGGCGUUUGUUUUAUGA